rnacentral:rRNA from 1 species
UACGAAGGGGGCUAGCGUUGUUCGGAAUCACUGGGCGUAAAGCGCACGUAGGCGGAUCUUUAAGUCAGGGGGGAAAUCCCGAGGCUCAACCUCGGAACUGCCUUUGAUACUGGGGAUCUCGAGUCCGGGAGAGGUGAGUGGAACUGCGAGUGUAGAGGUGAAAUUCGUAGAUAUUCGCAAGAACACCAGUGGCGAAGGCGGCUCACUGGCCCGGAACUGACGCUGAGGUGCGAAAGCGUGGGGAGCAAACAGG